GUUUAUUGUUGGCCAAAACCAGGCUUUGAUUGAACCAGGAUGAAUGCAGGUGUUGGAAGUAGAAUAUAUACACAUAUAAAAUUGG
rfam:Nomascus leucogenys chromosome 13, whole genome shotgun sequence.